AGCAAUCCUGCCACCUCAGCCUCCCAAGUCACUAGGAUUACAGGAAGCCUAUUAGAGGCUAUGUACAUGGAUCAUUUCCUUCAAAUCUCAUUUCCAGAACUACUAUGUACAAAUUCAGCACAAAUGGAACAGAACAGGAGGUUCCAGCAGGAAGUCAUUACUGUGAUUUGGUGGUAGCAUAUUCAUUGCCAUAUCAUUUGACUGCCAUGGAUACUGUGGAGCAAGGACAUCUGGAAAAAAGAAAGCAGCAGGAUAACAGUUGUAUUUGUAAUCAGUCUAAUUCUUAAUUACUUUUCCCUUUAUGCAAAUAAUUUGAAGUUAACUUUAAGGCUAGGAAAAAAAUACACAUUUUGCCAAAUGAAUGAAGAUCAAAUAUAUCAAGGAAAAGUGUGAUGUUUUAGCAAAUGAGAACCUGUUUUUUUUAAAAAAAAAAAAACUACCCUAUUAAAAAACUCAAAAAAAACAAAAAACAAACAAACAAAAAA